rnacentral:rRNA from 1 species
ACUCCUACGGGAGGCAGCAGUGGGGAAUAUUGCACAAUGGGGGAAACCCUGAUGCAGCCAUGCCGCGUGUGUGAAGAAGGCCUUCGGGUUGUAAAGCACUUUCAGCGAGGAGGAAGGGUGUAAGUUAAUACCUUACAUCUGUGACGUUACUCGCAGAAGAAGCACCGGCUAACUCUGUGCCAGCAGCCGCGGUAAUACAGAGGGUGCAAGCGUUAAUCGGAUUUACUGGGCGUAAAGCGCGCGUAGGUGGCUAAUUAAGUCAAAUGUGAAAUCCCCGAGCUUAACUUGGGAAUUGCAUUCGAUACUGGUUAGCUAGAGUAUGGGAGAGGAUGGUAGAAUUCCAGGUGUAGCGGUGAAAUGCGUAGAGAUCUGGAGGAAUACCGAUGGCGAAGGCAGCCAUCUGGCCUAAUACUGACACUGAGGUGCGAAAGCAUGGGGAGCAAACAGGAUUAGAUACCCUGGUAGCUACGAGU